GUUACAGGGCUUUCACAAAGUUAUUGGCACUUGGAACACAGAAAGAAGAGGUGGACUGGCGCUACAAGGGGGUACACAGGCCAAGCCAGUACUGCAUGGAUUGUGAAGAAGAAGAAUUUCACAAAUUCCUCAGUGAAUUCACCAAAAUGUCACCUUGGAGUUAUUGAGUCUGUUUUGCUGAUUGGAGAGCUAGCUUCCGCAGCUACUGGGUCCAUGACGAUGACUUCUGUUUUGUUUGAUCAGUCGUUUUACUGCUGCGUUAAAGGCACCGUUGGGAAACAAUUAAGGAAGUGAUGGAAGAACGGCAGAACAAAGAAGCCAGUGGGAUGAGUGGAAGCAGCACUGGAGAAUAGUGUGGAGGUGAACAAGCAGGAAGCACAACAGUCUUCAAAGAUACUGGAGAGGAAUCCAGCAGUAUACAUGAGGAGGAACUGGUCCCCCACAGUCAUGCUCAGACGACCCGUGUAGCAGAAAGCCAAAAUCUGCUGGAAGCUCUGAGGCUGCACCGCCGGCGGGAGCUCCACCACUGCUGGGCUGCCCUCGUUGCCACUGCAGCCUCCGCUGUUGCUGAAAAGGUCCCGGAAGUGUGAACCGCCCCAGGUAACAAGUUGACUUGAGACAGACGAAGGCGGCUUUGGAUGCUGAACUUCCCAUCUGGGCCUCUGCUGGGUUGACUGGUGUUGAAGUCCGACAGCUCAUUGGUGUCAUCCAGAAACCAGGAGACGUUAACGGACGCGGGACUGAAGCCGAACACCAGACACACCAGUUCACCACGACCCUGGAGCAAGAUGGCUGACGGUUGGGACACUUGUUUAUAUGCAUCCCAGUCAUCUGCUGGCACACUGAGGAAGCUCCGUAAGGUCUCUGUACCAUUGCUGUGACGAGUCGGCUCCUCCGUGUGGGAAUUCUGAGAGUAUUUCUUCCCAUCUACUUUCCAGGAGAUGACAAAAUCAUGAAGUCGAGGGCCAACCAAAAGACAAGUAAUGGUCACCUUGUCCCUCUGCUGAGACUCUGGCAAGACCCAGGAGAGGAAGAAGACGUGUAUGAAGACAAGUCACACAGACCACCUAUCUCUACGAGUUGGGUGGUCCUGGUGACGUAUGUGGAGUUUACGGGGUUGUCAUCGACAAGCCAAGACACCAGAACCUCUUGGGGGAAGAAGUCUUUCACUAAGCAAGUCAGGGUAACCAUGUUUUUAACAGUUUGUUCCACUGGAGGCAUCAUAAACACCGCAGGAUUUUGAGGUGAUUUAUCUGCAAGUGCGACAGAACAACAUUUGACCACAGGAAGUAGUAUCAAACAUUUACAGUUUUCUUACCAGCAGUUCUUUUAUAGGCUUUCUUUACUGGGUGCGCAAUCUUUGAAUGCUUCACCACGCAGUUGCGCCCUUUGCCUUUGCUCCAUUCGUCAUACGUGAUGUCAAGACGAGUCUCAAAUGGGCCCGAAUUGCCCGGCGGGGGGGCUUUCAAGGUCCCGGCCAUCUCGUUGCCAUCCUGGUCCUCCCACAAAAUACUCUGCACAGAUAGCCUGCUAACUUUGACCUGACAUAUCACCGUGCCUUUUUUGUUCAGAAAGAUGUCCUCCAUUGUGGGGCCGCUGAUCUGUAUAUCGACAUCCGCCUCCGGGCAUCCUUCACCUGUUGAAUGGACAGGAAGACUUUUUCAAGGCCGUUGUGUGAUUUACAUUGAGUGUGUUGCAUUUUAGCCCGCGUUCACACUGGUGGUUCGGACCAAAAAUAUAUGCAUUGAAGGACUUGAUUGGACACUUUUAUUGACCUAACUCAAUUAUUUCAAACCAAAAUGAGUUGUUUUUUAGACUUUGCUAUUUUUACCGGCUUAUAUUUGUACUAGGGCAGUAAAAUCAUGUGAUUAAUCACAACAUAGUGCAUUAAUCAUGGGUACACGCAUAUUAAUUACACAUUUUGUUUUGAGCAUACAUGUUCCUUUACUUUAACUGCAGAUGGUUACCUGAAAGGUGGCAUACAUUUUUUGUUGUACCACAAACAUAAUGCACCCAAUUCUUGAGGUGAGGAUCAAUGCUUGAUUCAAACCAAUUUUUGCAAAAUAUAUAAAUAUAUAAUUAAACUAAUGCUGUUAAAUGUAACGAGUUAACUCAUGUGAUUCAUCAAUCAAAAAUUGCAUUAAUCAUGCGUAUACACAGAUUAAUCACGCAAUUUAUUUGGACCGCACAUGCUCCUUUACCUUAACCGUGGAUUUUUACCUGAAAGGUGCGUGGGUUGGUAUAUUUAUAGAGAGAAAUGAGUGAGAGGACUCCGACUGGUGUGCUCUCUGGCAUAUUUAAUUUCAAAAUACCCCCGAGGGAACUUAGGAUACAACUUUCUCUAAAUUUUUGAGCAGUGCAUUCAAGUAAAACAUUUUAAAAUGUUACUGUAUGUCAUUGUCACGUUAAAAAUUACAUUUAUGCCCAAUUACGAGGGCCUUUUUAGGGUCAUUUAAAUAAUGCAAGCAGGUAAAAAGGUACAUUUCAU